UACGUAGGGUGCGAGCGUUAAUCGGAAUUACUGGGCGUAAAGCGUGCGCAGGCGGUUCGUUGUGUCGGUGGUGAAAUCCCCGGGCUUAACCUGGGAAUGGCCAUGGAAACUGGCGAACUGGAGUGCGGCAGAGGGGGGUGGAAUUCCGCGUGUAGCAGUGAAAUGCGUAGAUAUGUGGAGGAAUACCGAUGGCGAAGGCAGCCUCCUGGGCCAACACUGACGCUCAUGCACGAAAGCGUGGGGAGCAAACAGG
rnacentral:rRNA from 1 species